rnacentral:ncRNA from 3 species
GAACACGUAGCGACUCCGAAGAUCAGCCCCAAUGAACAUGUCAGUGUUGACUUUACAAGAAUAUGAAUUCGAAAAGCAGUUCAACGAGAAUGAAGCCAUCCAAUGGAUGCAGGAAAACUGGGUGAUGUCUGCGCGACAGGGAAGGCGGGAGAGAUGCCACAGUCCAGAUCGCCUACCUGUGCUCCCCUCCCCUCCCCCGGUUUU